rnacentral:lncRNA from 1 species
CUUCGUUACUCAGGAGAAAAAAAGAGGGAGAGAGAGAGAGAAAAUCAAGUCGCAGCCGGCUUGGCCCGGUGUUGGGGGCGGUCGCGCGGAACGGUGAGGCUGUGAGAACUUCCCCAGCUGCUGACUGAAGUGGGAAGUGAGGUGUGAACUGAGACCCCGGGAGAGAGGCCCUCCGGGUAGGACCUGGCCUCGGACUGGCGGCGUAAAGGGUGGCCUUGCCACCGACUGAGAGUGGUUGAGCUGGCCUCUGGCCGAGUGUGGGGAGAGAGGCUUCACUUCUUUGUACACAUGUGCAGAGGCUAUGAAGUCCAGGAUUAAGGUGCUGGCCAAUUCAGUUUCUGGUGAAGACUCUUCUGGAGUUGCAGACUUCUGAGUUUAUCUUCAAAUGGCCUUUCCCCAGUGGGCGUAUGUGGGGAGAGGGGAGAGCCAUCCUGCCUGAAACUCAGGAAACACAAGGUCCCUGGUUGUGUAAUAUGAGUACACUUGAAAGUUCCUCGUCCUUAUCUGGCAACCCAGAUGGAUAAAUACUGGCCCUGAAGAUGCUUUUCUUAAAACUGAGCACAAGUGGCUGCAGAACAGAGCUUGGGAAGAACCAGUUAUUCUUCUGCCAGUUCAAAACUGGGGGCCCCUUCCCUCUAGCAUUCAUCCUCUGCUUGCCGGGGCAUAUCAAUUUCACCCAAAUCACGUGGACUAAGGUGGUGAUGGUGGGCUGUGGUAGGUAUGAUUUCCCCAAAGAAAAUUCAGAUGAAGUCACCAGAGGGAAGAAGGAAGAAUGGAUGUUUAUGCAAAAGACGCAGAUGUCCACAACAGUUCCCACAUGGGAAGAGAAUAAUCCAGGUUUAAGAGCCCUGGCUUGGGACCCCAGUGUCUGGGGAUGGAGUCCCAGCUCUACCAUUUACAAAUUGUGUGACCAUGGCUGGAUCAUGUCACCAGUCAGUAUGGGUCUGUGUCCCCAUUAACAAAUGGGAGUGAUGGUCCAGCAUUGUGGGCCUGAAUCAGAGUGACAGCACAUUGCAAAGGCACCAUGUAAGCUCCAGCAGGUGUGUCACAGCUACUUGUGGUGUCAUGAAAUCUGAAGUCUCUGAUCCAGUGAAUCAGCUUCUGAAUAUUUAAUCAAAGGAAAUUAAAACACUAACUCAGGAGUUCCCAUCAUGGCGCAGUGGUUAACGGAUCCGACUAGGAACCAUAAGGUUGCGAGUUCGAUCCCUGGCCUUGCUCAGUGGGUCGAGGAUCCAGCAUUGCCGUGAGCUGUGGUGUAAGUUGCAGACACGGCUGGGAUCCUGCGUUGCUGUGGCUCUGGCGUAGGCCGGUGGCUAUAGCUCCAAUUAGACCCCUAGCCUGGGAAUCUACAUAUGCCGCUGGAGCGGCCCUAGAAAAAGGCAAAAAGACAAAACAAACAAACAAACAAACAAAAAAACACUAACUCAAAAAGGUAUCUGUACCCCCAUGUUCAUUGCAGCAUUAUUUACAAUAGCCAGGAUAUGCAAACAACCUAAGUGUCUAUUGAUGGAUGAAUCAAUAAAGAAAUGUGGUGUGUAUAUGUAAUGGAAUAUACUUCAGCCAUAGGAAAGAAUAAAAUUCUGCCAUUUUGCAACAACAUGGAUGAACCUUGAGGGCAUUAUGCUAAAUGAAAUGUCAGACAGAGAAAGACAAAUACCAUAUGAUCUUACUCAUAUAUGAAAUUAAAAAGAAAAACUAAGGUCAUAAAUACAAAAAGUAGAUUGGUGGUUGCCAAAGAUGGGGGGAUAGGAGAAUGGGCGAAAUGACUGAAGGGGGUCAAAAGGUAUAGACUUUCAGUUAUAAGAUAAAUAAGUCCUGGGAUAUAAUGUACAGCAUGGUGACUGUAGUUAACACUGUAUUGCACAUUUUAAUGUUUCUAAGAGAGUGGAUCUUAAAAAUUCAUCACAAGAGAAAAAAUUUAUAACUAUGUAUGGUAACAGAUAUUAACUACACUUAUUAUGGAGACCAUUUUUCAGUGUAUACAAAUAUUGAAUCAUGUUGUAUGCCUGAAAUUAUUAUAAUGUUAUAUGUCAAUUAUACCUAAAUAAAAAACAAAAUGAA